AAGAGACAGCAGUAGCCGCGGUAAUACAGAGGAUGCAAGCGUUAUCCGGAAUGAUUGGGCGUAAAGCGUCUGUAGGUGGCUUUUCAAGUCCGCCGUCAAAUCCCAGGGCUCAACCCUGGGCAGGCGGUGGAAACUACCAAGCUGGAGUACGGUAGGGGCAGAGGGAAUUUCCAGUGGAGCGGUGAAAUGCGUUGAGAUCGAAAAGAACACCAACAGCGAAAGCACUCUGCUGGGACGACACUGACGCUGAGGCUCGAAAGCCAGGGGAGCGAACGGGAUUAGAUACCCGCGUAGUCCCUGUCUCUUAUAC
rnacentral:rRNA from 1 species